rnacentral:rRNA from 1 species
CGGGACGGGUGAGUAAUGUCUGGGAAACUGCCUGAUGGAGGGGGAUAACUACUGGAAACGGUAGCUAAUACCGCAUAACGUCGCAAGGCCAAAGAGGGGGACCUUCGGGCCUCUUGCCAUCGGAUGUGCCCAGAUGGGAUUAGCUAGUAGGUGGGGUAACGGCUCACCUAGGCGACGAUCCCUAGCUGGUCUGAGAGGAUGACCAGCCACACUGGAACUGAGACACGGUCCAG